AGAGUUUGAUCCUGGCUCAGAACGAACGCUGGCGGCGUGCCUAACACAUGCAAGUCGAGCGAGAAAGGGGAGCAAUCCCUGAGUAAAGCGGCAGACGGGUGAGUAACACGUGGGUAACCUGCCCUCGAGCGGGGAAUAACAUCUCGAAAGAGGUGCUAAUACCGCAUAACGUCCAGAGGCCUGAGGGCUUUUGGACCAAAGGUGGGGAUCUUCGGACCUACCACUUGAGGAGGAGCCCGCGCCUGAUUAGCUAGUUGGUGGGGUAAUGGCCUACCAAGGCGACGAUCAGUAGCCGGCCUGAGAGGGUGAACGGCCACACUGGAACUGAGACACGGUCCAGACUCCUACGGGAGGCAGCAGUGAGGAAUUUUGCGCAAUGGGCGAAAGCCUGACGCAGCAACGCCGCGUGGACGAUGAAGGUCUUCGGAUCGUAAAGUCCUGUCGAGUGGGAAGAAAAAUGCAGGGUCUAAUAAACCCGGUAUCGACUUACCACCAAAGAGUCCG
rnacentral:rRNA from 1 species